rnacentral:rRNA from 1 species
CGAACGCUGGCGGCGUGCUUAACACAUGCAAGUCGAACGCGAACGAGUUCUUCGGAACUUUAGUAGAGUGGCGCACGGGUGAGUAACGCGUAAGUAAUCUACCCUCGCAUUUGGGAUAACCCACCGAAAGGUGUGCUAAUACCAGAUACGUCUAGGAUAAUAUCUUUUUUUUAGAGAAAGGUGGCCUCUGAUUCAAGCUACUGUGCGAGGAGGAGCUUGCGUACCAUUAGCUAGUUGGUAGGGUAAUGGCCUACCAAGGCAACGAUGGUUAGCGGGUCUGAGAGGAUGAUCCGCCACACUGGAACUGAAACACGGACCAGACUCCUACGGGAGGCAGCAGUGAGGAAUAUUGCGCAAUGGGGGCAACCCUGACGCAGCGACGCCGCGUGGAUGAUGAAGGCCUUCGGGUUGUAAAAUCCUGUCAGAUGGGAAGAAGUGUAUCAUGGUUAAUAUCUGUGGUAUUUGACGGUACCAUCAAAGGAAGCACCGGCUAACUCC